UUCAGUGAUGAAAACUUUUGCAUAGGAAGUGCCGUCUGAUGCGAUAACUGACGAUCACAAGCUCUAUUCUGAGA
rnacentral:snoRNA from 1 species